UUUUUUUUUUUUUUUUUUUUGAGGUAUCAAAGCUCUGUACCAAAACCACCAGGGAAAACUGCUGAUCACAGAAAAACUGGGUUUAUUAAACUUGCUGAGCAAAAGAAAGCACCACCUUAAGAGUUUCAGUAUUCUCAAAAGGCGAGUCAGGGAAAGGUACUGCUCAUGUUCCAUGAGGUGUAGGGGUUGUCACAAGGUGAUCUGGGGCAGAAAUUAUUAAGUCGGUGCAAAAGUAAUUGGGAGCUGGGCAGGGAUAGGUUGAAAUUUGUAAUGAGAAGUCAGUGGUCUUAUCUUGGAACAUAUUAGUCUUAACCAGCUGGUAUCAAAACCCCUUAUGUUUAGUUUGCUAUGCAUGUCAUGGUUUGUACAGUUUAUCUGACCCAUUGCCAUCAACAUCCACAUUUUUCCACCCAACAUCAUGCUCUGUGCCAUUAAGAGCAUUGUUGAUGCCCUGCUUCCAUUGCCUACAGUUUUCCUUUGCAGUAGCUGGCUCCCAUUUUGAAAGUUUCAACGUCCAUGUGUGGUACAUCAUGACUGCUGCUUGGCUGAUGGUGAUUUUGAUAUGCCUCAUGAUUUCAGAAUUGACAGAAUGUGAAAAAAUUGUGCAAUUUAGAAUCAAUAAAAUAGAGUAAUAAUUUGAUAACAAUAAAGUCUAAUUCUCAUCUCGGAGAGUAGAACCAAUCAAAUGUUUAAACUCCCAUUAGAGAAGUAGUUAAUUCUGGGAGAUAAGUAAAAAAAGUAUCAUAAAACUACAGUGCAAAAAUAUUUACCCCCUUGUAGACAGAUCCUGACGACCCCUCUUCAAACCUAAAGGGCAGUUUUUAUUGUUUGUUUUGCUCUGAUCCUUAUAAUUGUAGCAUUAAUUUUAUUUCCUCAACUUAACAAUUAACUACUUUUUCAAGUCUUUUUCUACUGGGAAAGUAUCUUGUUCCCAAAGAAAUAAUCUAAACCAUGUAAAGAGACAAAGCCUGAAGUGUUUUGCCUGUAGAAUUGCUGUGCCACGGGAUGAAAUUAGAAAGGAUUAAGAUACUCAAAGGUACAUUUUUAAUUGGAUUUUUUAAUUGGAUGGAUUUGAACUUGGCUCCAUUGUAACUUGCCCAAUAAGCAUAAUGGUAGCUCCCAAGAAGUCAAGUCCAGCAGCAAUCAGGACUGUGACUUUUGGACUCACUGAUUUCCCAGAAAUGGUGUGUGUGCCUAUUCACAUACUGUGUGGGGAUGCGGAGGGAGAGAACCGAAAAUCUAUUUAUAUUGUUAAUAUUAUGCUUUCCUCUGAAAGAUUACCCAAAAUGUCAGGCUUACAGAUAAUGGCCACAUUGCCUUAUGACUAGAAUGGGUGAAGGAAGAAAUUUCAUAUAUUACCAGGCAAAUGAAGAGUUUUAGAAGCCCCAUACGGUGAACAGAUGUUAGGGCUCCAUUCCCUCUUGUGCCUGAUAGUAAUUCAAAUUAAAAUAAUACUAAGUCAGAAAAUGAGCUUUUAUUUCUCCAACAACAUUCUGAUUUCUCCAUGACUAUUUUGACACUUUUUUUUUUGAGAUAUGAAAAAUCUUGUUUCUUC
ensembl:lncRNA novel transcript